GGCACAGAGACCCCGAAGGCAGGGGACCCAGACUGCAAAGAGGUUUGGGAGUGUGACUGCCGCCCAGGCAGUGCCCAGUUCAGGAGUCCAGGGCUGGACAGGUGGAAAGGAGCAUUUGGGCCUCCAGAGACCUCAUCGUGUCAUCAGCCCUGUAGGUGCCGGACAGCAUUCGUGCUCAUGGGACUGGGCUCCUUAAGCAGCAGAGGCCCUGGGCGGCCCACAGCCCACCCAGAGGGAGACCCAGACCUUCCACUGAUCUUCUCAGACCCCCACCGUGGGGUGCCUGAGUCCCAUAGAAGCCCCUGUAUGCUGGCAGGUGAUGGAGAUAAACCCCUUCUUAGCUGUCUGGGGUGCAAGGGGGAGGGAGGAGGAUGACCAGAGCACCCCUGCUCCCAGCCCAGGUCCAUAUAAGCUGCUCUCUGGGGCACAUGCAGAGUUCACGAUAUCAUAUCUACGUGCUCAGGACACAACACACGCCAGCAGUUCCUCUAGCUCUCUGAUUUCUGAUGAUUCUGGUCAUCCCUGAUUCUUCCCCUCGUCUUCCUGACUGACACCCAGUCCUGACCCUUGGUAAUGAUGUCACUCUUUGUCUCACCCUUAGCAACCUUGCAACAGCUCUCAGUCCCCAGGAAGACCCCAGGAGGAUCUCACCUCUGGAGGAUCGCAGGGCUCCUCUACGUGGUGAAAAUAGACUUGAGUCAUCAUCAGACCAAGAGCAGGUGCAAGAGAGUGACUCUGCAGGAAGACCCCAGGCACCCUAGCCCUGAUGCGGCUGCAAGGCACAGAAUGAACGAGGCAGGAGGCCCCAGAUGUGGGUGAUUUCUCCACAGUGGACCCACUUACGUUCCAAUCCGAGCUCUGCCACCUGCCAGCUAUGUGACUUUGUCACCUUACCAGCCUGGGUCUCUGCUUGCCUUUCUUUGAAACAGGAAUAUUAAUAGUAAGAACCUUAUAAAGUUGUAAUGAGAAUGAAAUAAAAAAAAAUAGUUGCGUUCUUAUAGCA
rnacentral:lncRNA from 12 species